rnacentral:rRNA from 1 species
AGGACGAACGCUGGCGGCGUGCUUAACACAUGCAAGUCGAGCGGAAAGGCCCUUCGGGGUACUCGAGCGGCGAACGGGUGAGUAACACGUGAGCAAUCUGCCCUUAGCUUCGGGAUAGCUCCGGGAAACCGGAAUUAAUACCGAAUAUGACUUCGGCCGACAUCGGCCUUGGUGGAAAGUUUUUCGGCUAGGGAUGAACUCGCGGCCUAUCAGCUUGUUGGUGGGGUAAUGGCCUACCAAGGCGACGACGGGUAGCCGGCCUGAGAGGGCGACCGGCCACACUGGGACUGAGACACGGCCCAGACUCCUACGGGAGGCAGCAGUGGGGAAUAUUGCGCAAUGGGCGAAAGCCUGACGCAGCGACGCCGCGUGGGGAUGAAGGCCUUCGGGUUGUAACCCCUUUCAGCAGGGACGAAGCGAAGUGACGGUACCUGCAGAGAAGCGCGGCUAACUACGUGCCAGCAGCCGC